CAGUCCUUGGUUAAGAGGCCCCGAAGGAAAACCCAGAUGUAAAAGGCACUGGUGUCAGACUCAGUGGGAGAGCUGUGAGAAAUUUUCACCCCCCGUAACAGAGAUAGUCUAGCAGGGUCAGCUUUAAGAAGAACAUCAAGUAUUAGGUGCAAAAAGACUGUGUCACGUGGGACAUUUGACUGAAAGCCGGAAAACUUCUAUUUAAUUUAUUUUCAGCUUUGGGUACGAGCACUAAUUAGCACAGGUUUGUGUAAAUUCUCUAGAAGCCUCACCUCCAAAGUUUGUUCAGGUGCUGGUCCACCUCCUUAUGGGACAAGAAGACUCAAGCUAUUACUUAGCCUGCUGUUUGAGUUGGUGCCAGUUGGAUGAGAAUACCCUGGCUACAUUUCAUGUCAGAAACCUGGUACAAAGUACAGUGCAUUGUGCAUACAGCCAAGGCAGUUAUGAGAAUCCUGAGUACUGGAAGAUUGCUCAAGAGGGAGACUCUUAAACCUAUGGAUUUAUAUUAAAAUGUUGUACUAUUCCUACAGAAUUCAAAAUGGGAGAAUUUACCUAUUCUCAUAUGCUAUAAACACAUUUAACAGUAAAAAUUCAAUAUCUUUAAAAGCACAAAUAAAA